GUCUGGGGUAGAGAGCUAAGGCCCAGGUAGCUCAGACUGACCUCUGUAUCUCCUGCCAG
ensembl:miRNA Mir6988 microRNA 6988